rnacentral:rRNA from 1 species
UACGUAGGUCCCGAGCGUUGUCCGGAUUUAUUGGGCGUAAAGCGAGCGCAGGUGGUUUAUUAAGUCUGGUGUAAAAGGCAGUGGCUCAACCAUUGUAUGCAUUGGAAACUGGUAGACUUGAGUGCAGGAGAGGAGAGUGGAAUUCCAUGUGUAGCGGUGAGAUGCGUAGAUAUAUGGAGGAACACCGGUGGCGAAAGCGACUCUCUGGCCUGUAACUGACACUGAGGCUCGAAAGCGUGGGGAGCAAACAGG